GACGAACGCUGGCGGCGUGCUUAACACAUGCAAGUCGAACGGAAAGGCCCUGCGCUUGUGGCGUGCUCGUGUGGCGCACGGGUGAGUAACACACGAGUAACCUGCCCUUGACUUUGGGAUAACUUCAGGAAACUGGGGCUCAUACCGGAUAGGAGCUCCUGAUGCAUGGGGGGGGUUGGAAAGUUUCGGCGGUGGGGGAUGGACUAGCGGCUUAUCAGCUUGUUGGGGGGGUAGUGGCUUACCAGGGGUGUGACGGGUAGCCGGCCUGAGAGGGGUAACGGCCACAUGGGGCCUGAGAGACGGCGCAGACGCCUACGGGAGGCAGUAGGGGAGAAUAUGGCAGAAUGGGCGGAAGCCUGUGGCAGAAACGUCGCGUGCGUGAUGACGGCCUUCGGGUUGUAAACCGCUUUCGCCUGUGACGAAGCGUGAGUGACGGUAAUGGGUAAAGAAGCACCGGCUAACUACGUG
rnacentral:rRNA from 1 species